rnacentral:rRNA from 1 species
GGUGCUGAAGCAACAAAUGCCCUGCUUCCAGGAAAAGCCUCUAAGCAUCAGGUAACAUCAAAUCGUACCCCAAACCGACACAGGUGGUCAGGUAGAGAAUACCAAGGCGCUUGAGAGAACUCGGGUGAAGGAACUAGGCAAAAUGGUGCCGUAACUUCGGGAGAAGGCACGCUGACACGUAGGUGAAGUGAUUUACUCACGGAGCUGAAGUCAGUCGAAGAUACCAGCUGGCUGCAACUGUUUAUUAAAAACACAGCACUGUGCAAACACGAAAGUGGACGUAUACGGUGUGACGCCUGCCCGGUGCCGGAAGGUUAAUUGAUGGGGUCAGCGCAAGCGAAGCUCCUGAUCGAAGCCCCGGUAAACGGCGGCCGUAACUAUAACGGUCCUAAGGUAGCGAAAUUCCUUGUCGGGUAAGUUCCGACCUGCACGAAUGGCGUAAUGAUGGCCAGGCUGUCUCCACCCGAGACUCAGUGAAAUUGAACUCGCUGUGAAGAUGCAGUGUACCCGCGGCAAGACGGAAAGACCCCGUGAACCUUUACUAUAGCUUGACACUGAACAUUGAGCCUUGAUGUGUAGGAUAGGUGGGAGGCUUUGAAGUGUGGACGCCAGUCUGCAUGGAGCCGACCUUGAAAUACCACCCUUUAAUGUUUGAUGUUCUAACGUGGACCCGUAAUCCGGGUUGCGGACAGUGUCUGGUGGGUAGUUUGACUGGGGCGGUCUCCUCCUAAAGAGUAACGGAGGAGCACGAAGGUUGGCUAAUCCUGGUCGGACAUCAGGAGGUUAGUGCAAUGGCAUAAGCCAGCUUGACUGCGAGCGUGACGGCGCGAGCAGGUGCGAAAGCAGGUCAUAGUGAUCCGGUGGUUCUGAAUGGAAGGGCCAUCGCUCAACGGAUAAAAGGUACUCCGGGGAUAACAGGCUGAUACCGCCCAAGAGUUCAUAUCGACGGCGGUGUUUGGCACCUCGAUGUCGGCUCAUCACAUCCUGGGGCUGAAGUAGGUCCCAAGGGUAUGGCUGUUCGCCAUUUAAAGUGGUACGCGAGCUGGGUUUAGAACGUCGUGAGACAGUUCGGUCCCUAUCUGCCGUGGGCGCUGGAGAACUGAGGGGGGCUGCUCCUAGUACGAGAGGACCGGAGUGGACGCAUCACUGGUGUUCGGGUUGUCAUGCCAAUGGCACUGCCCGGUAGCUAAAUGCGGAAGAGAUAAGUGCUGAAAGCAUCUAAGCACGAAACUUGCCCCGAGAUGAGUUCUCCCUGAGACUUAGAGUCUCCUGAAGGAACGUUGAAGACGACGACGUUGAUAGGCCGGGUGUGUAAGCGCAGCGAUGCGUUGAGCUAACCGGUACUAAUGAACCGUGAGGCUUAACCUUACAACGCCGAAG